AUGGAGGGAGAAGAUAGCUUCGUACUUCCGGCCGACUGGGACAUCCCCGAAGCUGAAUGGGCCUUGAUGUCUGAGUCUACCAAACGUCAGAUCAAAGAGAACUUCGCUCUAGAAGAGGAAUACCGUCUCCGCUUCCGCAGCGCCGGCGUCGUCGUCGGCGGCGGCGGCAGCGGCAAUCCCAAUACUAAUUUCAAGAGCCCCGUCGAGUCGCACAGUGCCGCGACGGUGCAGGUGCAUUCUUCUGCUGGUGCCAGCAAGUGCAAAAAGAGCCACGGCCGCAGCGACGCUGACAAGGAGGAGGCCAAGAGGCAACGUAUGGGUGUUGAACUGAGCGGAAUCGAGAUGCAGUCGGGCGUCAGCCUCCCUCAGUUAUCCUAA
rnacentral:rRNA from 1 species